AAGAUCAUACUUCACAGGAUCAUUUCUGUAGUAUAUCUUCACACUCUCUUUACUCUAUUUUUGAGUAUGACAUAGCCACGAUGAAGAGUGGAAACUCUUCUCCCUGAGCGUGAGGACGACUCGGGAAUCCGACUUGUCGGAAUCCCAGUCAUCGAUGAUCGUUCACCUUCUGCACUCAGUGUGGGGGGCCCGGGAGGAGAGUUUUCUGAGUGGU